rnacentral:rRNA from 1 species
GGAGGAUGAGCUACCUGCAGUCGAGCGGAUGAAGGGAGCUUGCUCCUGGAUUCAGCGGCGGACGGGUGAGUAAUGCCUAGGAAUCUGCCUGGUAGUGGGGGAUAACGUCCGGAAACGGGCGCUAAUACCGCAUACGUCCUGAGGGAGAAAGUGGGGGAUCUUCGGACCUCACGCUAUCAGAUGAGCCUAGGUCGGAUUAGCUAGUUGGUGGGGUAAAGGCCUACCAAGGCGACGAUCCGUAACUGGUCUGAGAGGAUGAUCAGUCACACUGGAACUGAGACACGGUCCAGACUCCUACGGGAGGCAGCAGUGGGGAAUAUUGGACAAUGGGCGAAAGCCUGAUCCAGCCAUGCCGCGUGUGUGAAGAAGGUCUUCGGAUUGUAAAGCACUUUAAGUUGGGAGGAAGGGCAGUAAGUUAAUACCUUGCUGUUUUGACGUUACCAACAGAAUAAGCGCCGGCUACUUUCUUGCCAGCGGCCGCGGUAAUCCUGACGGUGCAAGCGUCUUCCCGAUUUACUGAAUUUAAACAGAGCGUCCGCUGCUCAGCGGGUCCCCACGUCAAAUCAAUUUACUCAUACCGUGGUCGGCGACCACACCUGAUGAGCAAACUUUUACUGAAGCAGGGCCUCCAAUCAUUGCCGGGAUCUCCAUCGCUUAGCUACUGCUACUUUAUUUGGAAGAUUUUUUGAACCUUUUAUUUAUCUUUAGUACAACGAGUUUACCAUCACAUUAUCCGCCUACUCUCGCG